GUCCCGGAAACAGGGAAGGAUGAAGGUAAAGGAACACUCGCUACUCCGCAAAAUUCAGAAUGGUGGUUACCUGGCGGGGGAUGAAGAAUUGCCCUUGUGAGACGAAAUGAAGGGUUCAGUGGAGAGCAGAGCACCUGGUGCAUCUCAGGCUUCUAGAGGCUGCCCCGUUCCUUGGCUUUCCUCCGUCUUCACAGCUUACAGCGAGCAUCCCCCUCUGACCAUUCUUCACUAGUCACAUCUGCUUGGACUGCAGCUGGGGAAGCUUCUCCACUUCUAAGGAUUCAUGUACCCACUUGGAUAAUUCAGGAUAACCUCGCCAUCCCAAGGUUUCUAACCUUAAUCACAUCUGCUAAGUCCCUUCUGCCACAUAGCCAAGAAAAAGGUACAUCACUGCCACAUCACUCAUCCCUCUGAGCACUCCUGGCACGUGCUUACCUCAUUCCUCCCAGUGUGGAGGUCAUCGCCCUGAGAGACAUCUGUCCAGGUGUGCCACUGCACCACCCUCACCAGGACAACAAAGUGCUCACGUGACUGGCCUGGGUCCUGGGGGAAGGGCAGCAGGAGUGAGGGACAGGGCCCCCUGCACCCCAAAGCCACUAUUGGAAUUAGAAAGUAGAAGGACGUAGAGAGCAAGAUGGAGUCACUCAUGUCAAGCAGGGGCCUGUGCGGAGCAAUGACGCCAGCCGUUAAGGGUACCUCGGCUACGAGAUAUCCACCAGCUGACCACGCUCCAGAGCUGAUAACAAGCAGGAGCUGAGACUGUCAGACUCUUGAGCCAUGACCCCUCUAUGCCUGGCCACUUAAAAAAGGCAGCGGCCCCCGAAGGCUCUGCCUGUUGGAUCCCCCAACAGAACUGAGAUCCUUCGCCGCUUGAACAGAAUAAGAAGCAGUAAGUGCCAAGAGCUGACCCGGGACUAGGCCCAGGUCUCAUCUCAACGGUGCACCCACAGACUGAUUCCGCGUUUUUUCUUUUUUUCUUCAUUAACUUCCUCCCCCCUCUGUUAUCUUGUUUGUUGUGUGAUUUGUGUUCUGCUCUGCGUGCCAUGUAAGAAGCCAAGUUAGUCACGUGGUGAAAUGUCAUUGAGUUUGGAAUUCUGAACCUGCUCUAUAAUUAUGUGAGCCUUGCUUUAUGACUGAAUAAAGCUGACAUUGUGGAAAGACACAUUUUGUGUGUGUGCCUUCCUAGUGUGCCCGUGACAGAGGGAGGGACCUCUGAAAUUAUCGUGCCAGGCCUCCUCCCUUAACCCUCGGGGAAAAUGAGGCUCAAAGAGGGACAUCAAGUCUUGAAACCGAUCCACAGAGUUAGAACCAGAUCUUAGGUCCCCUGACAGGUGGGCCUGGGUGCUUUCCACUUUCCUGGACUCCCUGCUUUUACCCCGAAUUUCUGAGAGCUGGGGAGGACAUGUUGAUAGUCGGCAACAUCACCCUCGGCAUCCCCAUGGGACCUCUGUCAAGUGCCAAGGUGUGUCCCAGCUGAAUAUUUAAAUAUGCCAUCUCCCUGAAUAUUGUCCUUGGCACUUGGAAGGAAGUGCCAUUAGGAUCCCCAUUUUACAGAUGAGGAAGCUGAGGCUCAGAGAGAUGAUGUCAUUUGCUCAAGGUCACACAGCUGGAAGCAGAACACCUAGGGUUUGAUCCCGUGUCUGUCAGAUUCCAGAGUCUGUGUUCUUAUCUGUUCCCUUGCCUCCUCAUUUUCAGAUGCUCAGAUUUGGUGCAUGAUUUAUUCCUAUUAAAAAAGGGAGAAGAGGGGCG